UCACAGGACAGACCUUCACCUGCUUUAGAGGGCAUGUUUCAUCCAGAAGUGUUUAGGACUGGAGCAUGGCGACCUGUUUAUCUCUCAGCCCUGGUGAAAAUGAUUAGAGUCAAAUGUCAUUACUUGCAGAGGUGUGUGUGUGUGUGUGUGUGUGUGCGCUUUCCCUUGAAGGCAUUUUAACAAAUGUUUGUGACUCCAUGAUUCAUGUGGAGCUUUGAACAGAACAGAUGGAAUAUCCUGAAAGCAGUUUCAUCACACUAUUACACUGAGACUUUAACAUCUCCCUCUGUCUUUGUUUCAACAGAUGGAGAGAGAGUGACGGUUCAAUGAGGCUGUGCACUGAACUGGCAUGAAAUCCAAGUAAAUGACCAUCAUUUUGUAGGUCAAAUUAAACUGAUUUGAGGAUGAGGAACAUCAAGUACGAUAUUCAAGAGUGUGAUCAGGUCAUUAGGAUAACAGAUCAGAACAUGAAGAUACUGUACUCCUCAGACUAAUACUGUACCGAUCAUCUCCUGUUUUUGUGAUACUGCGGUCACACCUUAUGUGGGAUGCCAUUAAAUAUUCAGCGUCAUAGUGGA